UUUUGAUAAUUUAUGGCAUCAAAGGCUCUGUUUUCUUAUACAACUUUGAAUGCUCAUGUUGUUAUAUUUUUCUGGUCCUUCCUUUGAUGCCAGCACUAUUAAGUGUUGAGAAUUGAGUACCGCUCCAGCCGGUGCUAGGGGGCGUGAGGGAUGUUGCACUUAUUCAGUAUCCCUCAUGUACAGACUCAAUCAAACCGAGUCUGCAAUUCUCUUGUAAUUUUGUUGUGAUUCAUGCUUCUGAGGGAUCACUUUGUUUCCAGAUUUAUAAAUAAAUGUAUAAUUCCAAGAUGAGAAAAUGACAUAAUACUUAUGUUAAAUUAUAUUUUAGGUUCCAAGACAAAACAAUGGAAUUGAUUGUGGUGUUUUCACAAUCUACUAUGGUUCUGAUCUGAUACAGAAUCACAAAGAUUGGACAACGCUUGGCGGCCAUUGUUCAAGAGUUAAACUUUUGAAAGAGUUGGAGGAGAUGAAAUAGAUUAUAUUAUUAUAAGAGGCAUUAUGAUGGCUAAUACCAAAGACAUGUCAUUAAGGCUGCAUGCCUCCAGAUGAGCCAAAAUAUUUCAAGAAAAUAUAACUUGAGAAAAAUGUAUUGACGUUUUAUGAAAAGUAAAAAGACUAAAGAUAAAAGUAAUAAUUUCAAUGUUAUUUGCUAUUGAUGGCCAAUUUUUCAGUUAUUUUCACCAUAUUUCUACUGUGUUACUAACGCAGUAAGGGUUAAUUUUGCAUAUUUUUACCUCUUUUUUUGUAAUUAAACAUGGUUGUAAGUGCCGUUUGAAAUGUGCAUAUUAUUUUCUCAGUCAGUUUAACAAUAUUUUACUUUUAAAUACAUUUUCAAAAUUUUCAUGAACAUUAUCAGGAAUCUAGAGGUGUGCUGCUUUAAUUAAAGCCAAGCAAAUUGUACAUAGUUCAUCCUCUUGUAUAUGCUCAUUAUGCUUACUUGUUUUCAGUGAGUUUAAUCAUUCAUGUCUUUUUAGCUCACCUGUCACAAAGUGACAGGGUGAGCUUUUGUGAUCGCUUUUCGUCCGGCGUCCGUCCGUCCGUCCGUCCGUAAACUUUUACUUUAAAUGACAUCUCCUCAUAAACCACUAAGCCAAUUUCAUCCAAACUUCACAGGAAUGUUCCUUUGGUGGUCACCUUUAAAAAUUGUUCAAAGAAUUUAAUUCCAUGCAGAACUCUGGUUGCCAUGGCAACCGAAAGAAAAAACUUUAAAUAUCUUCUUUUAAAGAACCCAAAGAGCUAGAGCUAUGAUAUUUAGCAUGAAACAUGUUCUAUUGGGUGUCUACCAAGUUUGUUCAAAUAAAAGCCCUAAGGUCAAAAUUGGCCCGGCCCCGGGGGGUCAUUGAUUUUCCCUAUAUGCAUAUAGUAAAAACUUAAAAAAUCUUCUUUUAAAGAACCCAAAGAGCUAGAGCUAUGAUAUUUAGCAUGAAACAUGUUCUAUUGGGUGUCUACCAAGUUUGUUCAAAUAAAAGCCCUAAGGUCAAAAUUGGCCCCGCCCCGGGGGUCAUUGAUUUUCCCUAUAUGCAUAUAGUAAAAACUUAAAAAAUCUUCUUUUAAAGAACUCAAAGAGCUAUGGCUAAGAUAUUGAGCAUCAAACAUGUUCUAAUAGGUGUCUACCAAGUUUGUUCAAAUAAAAGCCCUGGGGUCAAAAUUGGCCCCGCCCCGGGGGGGUCAUUGAUUUUCCCUAUAUGCAUAUAGUAAAAACUUAAAAAAUCUUCCUUUAAAGAACCAAAAGAGUUAGAGCUAAGAUAUUUAGCAUGAAACGUGUUCUAAUAAGUGUCUACCAAGUUUGUUCAAAUAAAAGCCAGGGGUCAAAAUUGGCCCCGCUCCUGGGGGUCAUUGAUUUUCCCUAUAUGCAUAAAGUAAAAACUUAAAAAAUCUUCUUUUAAAGAACUCAAAGAGCUAUGGCUAAGAUAUUUAGCAUCAAACAUGUUCUAAUAGGUGUCUACCAAGUUUGUUCAAAUAAAAGCCCUGGGGUCAAAAUUGGUACCACCCCGGGGGUCAUUGAUUUUCCUUAUAUGUGUAUAGCAAAAACUUAAAAAAUCUUCUUUGAAAAAACCCAAAUAGCUAGAGUUAAGAUAUUAUAAUUAAGCAUGAAACAUCUUUUAGUGAGUGUCUACAAAGUUUGUUCAAAUAAAAGACCUGGGGUCAAAAUUGGCCCCGCCCCGGGGGUCAUUGAUUUUUCUUUAUAUGUGUAUAGCAAAAACUUAAAAAAAAUCUUCUUUUAAGAAGCCCAAAUAGCUAGAGUUUAGAUAUUAAGCAUGAAACAUUUUCUAGUAAGUGUCUACAAAGUUUACACAAAUAAAAGCCCUGGGGUCAAAACUGGCCCGGCCGCAGCGGUGUCAUUGUUUUUAACUAUAUGUGUAUAGUAAAAACUUAAAAAAAAUCUUCUUUUAAAAAGCCCAAUGAGCUAGAGCUUAGAUUGGGGGGGGGGGGGCUAUAUACAGGUGAGCGACCUCAGGGCCAUCAUGGCCCUCUUGUUUGUAUUUGUCAUGUGUAAUGUUAAUUGUAUCAUGUAACAAGAAACAUAACUUGUUUUUGUUACUUAAUAAAGAAUCUUGAAUUGAAUUGAAUUAAAUUAGAUAAUAUUUUUGUUUUACAAUGUCUGUCAGAGCAAACAACUCUUUUGUCUUUGUCAGUAUUUACUAAAGAGUUUGAUUAUAUUGUUCAUGAUAAUUUAUGGCAUAAGUUGAUAAAACUGGGACAUUAAGUGGAGACAUUUAAAUAUUUUAAAAUCUAUGUAUACAACAUUAAAAACAAGAGUAAAACAUUGUAGUAGAUUAAGUGAUCCAUACGAAUGUUUUCUUGGUGUUAACAAGGAGAGUGUUUGUCUCCCUAUCUCUUUUCCAUGUAUCUGAAAACCUUGAAGAUGAAUUUAUAAAAAGUGAAAUUAAAUGUAUUGAUGUUGAUAUGUUUAAAAUGUUCUUAAUCUUAUAUGCUGAGGAUAUUGUUAUUCUUGCAAAAAGUAAAAACGAACUACAAAAAGGUUUAAAUGUUUAAGCAGAUUAUUGUGAUAGAUGGAAACUUUCAGUGAACACAUGUAAGACGAAAAUAAUGAUAUUUAGAUAUGGUGAAUUUUGCCCAGAAAUAUUAAUUUUUAUUGCAAGGAAAAUUUUAUUGAUAAAGUUAGCAUGUUUACAUAUUCAGGAAUUGUUUUCACAUCAGGGGAUCCUUUGCAGAAUCUCAAAAUAUCAUUGCUGGACAAGCGUUGAAAGCAAUAUUUAAAAUUAGCAAAUAAAUUUGUUAAGUAGAAUUAUGUUUGUUUUUGCUUAUUUUUCUUAUGAAUAUUGUAUGGUAACAGUGCUUCUAAAUUAAGGCAUAUAAUAUUAUCAAUAUUAAUAGUUAGAAAUUAUUGAUAAGUUCAAUACGGCUUUUAUAUCGAUUUGUUUUACACGCGUAUAUCAUUGUUUUGAUUUAGUUCAAUGGAUAAUUAGGUAUAUUAUAUGUUUGUACAGAUAAAUGAUUUAAAUGAACGCUUUAGUUCAUCAGAUAUACAGGUCAAUGAUUUUAUACAUCUUUAUUAAAGCCUCAUCCAUACAAAACAUAAACAACAUUUCAAAUACAAAUUGUUAAGCAUUAUAUAAUAAUUUUUUACAGUGAAAAUACUGAAAAUGAAAAUACGCAUUUUAUUUCAUUAAUAUUUCAUCUAUAAGUAUAUAUCUUGUCAAAUUAAUUCAAUACAAUGUAUGAAGUUUACCUCUCCGUAAGUUUUGCUAGACAGUGGUAAUUAAUUUAGCAUUAUGUUUAACGUUGAAUAUUCUUUUGUUCUGUUAUUUAUGAUAAAUUUGUGUAUACCUUCUCCACUUACACUAACGCAUUGUAUGUAUAUGUUUUACACUGUCUUGUCUUUUAUCAUGCGUUUGUUUAUCCUCAUGGACCAUUUUGUCCAAUGGAAUAUUGAAAUAAAUUUAAUUUUAAACUUA